GGUUUGAUGGUCUAUGAGUAUGAUUCUAAUUUUUGGUGCGAGUGGUCUCGGGUUCAAAACCCGGAUGAGCCC